AUUGAACGCUGGCGGCAGGCUUAACACAUGCAAGUCGAGCGAGCGGCGGACGGGUGAGUAAUGUCUGGGAAACUGCCUGAUGGAGGGGGAUAACUACUGGAAACGGUAGCUAAUACCGCAUACCAUCAGAUGUGCCCAGAUGGGAUUAGCUAGUAGGUGGGGUAAUGGCUCACCUACGCGACGAUCCCUAGCUGGUCUGCGAGGAUGAACAGCCAUCCUGAAACUGAGACGCGGUCCAGUCUCCUACGGUAGACAGCAGUUGGGAAUAUUGCUCAAUGGGCUCAAUCCUGAUGCAGCCAGGCCGCGUGUGUGAAUAAGGCCGUCGGGUUGUAAAGCACUUUCAGCGAGGAGGCGUUACUCGCAGAAGAAGCACCGGCUAACUCCGUGCCAGCAGCCGCGGUAAUUC
rnacentral:rRNA from 1 species